CUUUCUAGAAAACAACCCCAAAAUAGUUCACUUAUGCUUUUUUGAAGACAGGGUCAUCCCAUAUUAAGAAACCCUGUUGUAUACACUGUAAGAUUUCUGGCACAAAAACAAAAAAGAGAAAGAGAGAGAAUCCUCUAGCAGCUAUUUGCACUAGAAGCCAGACCUCUAGGCAAGGGUCAUUUUUUAGCCAUGCUAGGAUUUACUGCAGAAACAAUGCCGUUUAGCUGGCAUAGCUGUGCAUGUAAGCAGAGCACUCCAUCCGUGUUUCUCAUCCCGGUAUGUAAAGGACAGAGUUCACAUGAAGCACACUUUUUUUUUGGCCUCACAAUUUUACCUCACAACUACGCUGUUGGUCGUAGCCCUAGUCAGUGUCCUGAGGAUCACUGCAUGGCUUAACCACAAACACGACUGCUAACUAUC
rnacentral:lncRNA from 1 species